AUAAACAGGGAGGAGGGGUUGCAAUUGAAACAUUGGCUUUCCAUUACGUAGACACGUGGUUUCGGCGCGGUGAUAUCACGGACGCUUUCAGGAAUUAUGCGAAGAGACAGAAUUGUCUCUAUGAUUGAUGGUAUGUCAGUGACUUUUCAGGAGUUUAUUGUCAUACUAAACUGAUUUUCUGCAUUGAGUUUGGACUAAUUUAUCGGCUAAUGGCUGCAUCGUAACAGUGCUACUAGACUAUAGCUAGUCAUAGCAUACCAAAUCUAUAAUAUCAUGUGUGCCCAAUUCAUAUUCGAUUCUGAAGCGUCGGGUUUAUUAAAUGGUCCCGGAUUGUAGCCUGUGUGACAGGGGUGUUCCGGGAAGAAGUCACAGGUGCUGGUAGUGGUAUUCAUCCGUGAUAGGCUGUCGGGGAUCCUUGCGUGUAGCGCGGUGACAGGUAGUGUUCUAAGCAGAAGUGAAAUACAGUAUCGGCUACAACAGCUGAUGUCAACAUAACGACAGGUGGCAUGCAAAACAAUGGACUCGGUGUAAUAGCUUGGUUGAGGUCCCAAGAUUGUCAUCUACGUACGCCUGCCAGUUGCGUACAUACUGCCUGAGGAGGGACCCUGGAUUCUUCCAGGAGACGUGGAUCGGUUGCACUGGAGGAACGACUCGGGUUAUGAGCCGGCUUGUGACAAGUGGGGGGGAGAAAAAGGAAUGAGGUGUGGAAUGCUGAAGCAGUGAAGAUGGGUCCAGGCCGAGGGAUCCUAAGAGGCUCCCUGUGAGUUGGCAGAGGUUCUUCAGCUGCACCAUUGAGAACAUCCUGACGGGUUGCAUCACUGCCAGGUGUGGCAACUGCUCGUCCUUCGACCCCAAGGCACUACAGAGGGUAGUGCGUACGGUCCAGUACAUCACUGGGGCCAAGCUUUCUGUCAUCCAGGACCUCUAUACCAGGCGGUGUCAGAGGAACGCCCUAAAAAUGAUCAGACUCCAGCCACCCUAGUCAUAGACUGUUCUCUCUGCUACCCCAUGGCAAGCGGUACCGGAGCGCUAAGUCUAGGUCCAAGAGGCUUCUAAAUCGCUUCUACCCCCAAGCCUCCUGAACAUCUAAUCAAAUGGCUACCCAGACUAUUUGCUUUGCCCCCCCACUUUUUUUUUUUUUACACCGCUGCUACUCUCUGUUAUCAUCUAUGCAUAGUCCCUUUAAUAUCUCUACCUACAUGUACAUAUUACCUCAACUAACCGGUGCCCCCACACAUUGACUCUAUACCGGUACCCCCCUGUAUAUUGUCUCGCUAUUGUUAUUUUACUGCUGCUCUAUAAUUACUUGUUACUUUUAUUUCUUAUUCAUAUUAGAUUUUUUUUUAAACUGCAUUGUUGGUUGAGGGCUUGUUGGUUGAGGGCUUGUUGGUUGAGGGCUUGUUGGUUGAGGGCUUGUUGGUUGAGGGCUUGUUGGUUGAGGGCACUGUAAGGUGUUGUAUUCAGCGCAUGUGACUAAUAACAUUUUAUUAGAUUUGAGAAAUGGAUGAAUAGGAAGGCUGUAACCAACCUCCCACUCCAGUACAGUAGGUGGUAGUGUAUGCACCUUUCAGUUGGUUGUGAUCUGCUAAUACAAAUGUGAAGAAGUAGAGAAGAACGUAAUUGACUGACGCACGUUUCCUUGCAAUCAGGGUGGAGGCAGCAUAAUGCUGUGGGAUGUUUUUCAUCCUGCGUUGUCUUGGUUAUGUGCUUAGGGUUGUUGUCCUGUUGGAAGGUGAACCGUCUCCCCAGUCUGAGGUCCUGAUAGCUCUUAAGCAGGUUUUCAUUAAGGAUCUCUCUGUACUUUGCUAUGUUCAUCUUUCCCUAUAUCCUGACAAGUCUCCCAGUCUAUGCAGCUGAAAAACAUCCCACAGCAUUAUGCUGCCUCCACCAUGCUUCACCGUAUGGAUGGUGCCAGGUUUCCUCCAGAUGUGACGAUUGGCAUUCAGGCCAAAGAGUUCAAUCUUGGUUUCAUCAGGACAGAGAAUCUUGUUUCUCAUGGUCAGUCUUUAGGUGCCUUUUGGCAAUUCCAAGCAGGUUGUCAUGUGCCUUUUACUGAGGAGUGGCUUCUGUCUGGCAACUAUACCAUAAAGGCCUGAUUGGUGGAGUGCUACAGAGAUGGUUGUCCUUCUGGAAGAUUCUCCCAUCUCCACAGAGGAACUCUGGAGCCAUGUCAGUGACCAUCGGGUUCCUGUUCACCUCCCUGACCAAAGCCCUUCUCCCCUUGAUUGCUCAGUUUGGCCUUGCGGCCAGCUCUAGGAAGAGUCUUGGUGGUUCCAAACUUCCUCCAUUUAAGAAUGAUUGAGGCCACUGUGUUCUUGGGGACCUUACCCAGAUCUGUGCCUCGACACAAUCCUGUCUUUGCGCUCUACGGAGCAUUUCCUUCAACCUCAAGGCUUGGUUUUUGUUUUAUGCUCUGACAUGCACUGUCAACUGUUGGGACCGUUAUAUAGAAGGGUGUGUGCCUUUCCAAAUCAUGUCCAAUCAAUUGAAUUUACCACAGGUGGACUCCAAUCUGUUUUUUAUUUUUAACACAUUUAUAAACAUUUCCAAACCUGCUUUCGAUUUUUCAUUAUGGGCUAUUGUGUGUAGACUGAGGAGAGAAAAAAAACGAUUUACUCAAUUUUAGAAUAAGGCUGUAAUGUAACAAUGUGGAAAAAGACAAGAGGUCUGAAUACUUUCCAAAUGGCCCGUAUUAGCUAGUUAACCAUCUGAUAAAGUUUAUUGUUGUGGUUCGCUCUUGUCCCAGAGCCCCCGAUGCUUGGCAAGUGAUCGCCAACAUCAAAAAAUGGGGCGACAAUAUCAGUCCCUCUACCCAUGUCUGGUCCGCCUUCAGCUGGCAGCCAGGCAGUUCCCCUCUGUCCCCAACAUUAGGCCGCCUCACCGCCGGAUUCCUGUAACUUCGGACCACCGAGCCAACGGUGACCCUCAUUGCCCCCCACGACACCCCCUCUCUCUGAGGCACCCCACCUCCUUCUAGGCAGAGGCACUCAUCGCUGCGCCGUGCACCACCGUCAAUGAUUGUUGGGGGAAGCUCCAUGUGCCCUAGAGCUCUCGGCGCUCAGCCAUCCCAGGCAGCUGGCUCCUUGCGACCUAGAAAUCCACAACCUCCCCCUCCCUAGAUAACCAUCAUUGGGAGUUCCAGUGUACAGGAUGUGGUGGUUAAUAAUGGCCCACAGACAUUCUGCUACCAGAGUGUGUGACAUCACGUGGGAGCUUGCAGUCUUUCUCGACCAAAACCCGGAGCUGCACACAGUGGUUGUGCAUAUUGUAUUUGUCUCCACUUUUCUUAGGCCUAUUAGAUAGUUGCAGACUAUCAUUUUUAAUCUGUUUGUCAGUGUCAGCUUAGUAUAGGCUAACCAGUAAAUUUUUGUCAUAUUAAAAAAUAUUCUCAGGUCAUAUAAAGUGGAAUAGAAUUGCAUGAAAUUUGAUUAGAAAAUGCAACUGUUUUCCAGGCAAAGAAAGGAAUCACAGUGAUUGAGUUAUAUUAUUAGCCUAAGUUGUGACUAUCCAAUUUACUCGUCACAUUAGGAAUAGUAGGCUAUCUUACAUAAGUCUGCAAAUGUGGUGAUGCAUGGAAUGCUUUAUUAUAAAUGUGAAAAUUUGCUUCCCCAAACUUCAGACUCAUGUGCCACCGAUGCCCCGGUACCAAAAAAAAUAAAAUGUCUCGGUAAUCCCUCCCCGUUUCAGUACUUGUCCAAUAAGAAAUGAACAUUUUCGUUUUCUUUUGCCAAAACAUUCAAAAAAAUGUCCCGUGUGUGCCCUAAUGAACACAGCCCUACAUUACCAGGAUCAGAAUGACCCUGAAGCUGGAGACACCAGCGGAUAAGAUAAUCAAAUAGUUAGCUGCAGAGGAGAAUCUCGAGAUGGUGAAUAUAACAAAAAGAUGAGGGCUGAGUGGAUACAUUUUCAGAUACAGAGGUGAUAUAGUGACCCAGGUGAAACUUCUGACAUGACAAGGCUACGUUUCUAAGAAUAUGCAGUGUAUAUAAUACAUCCACUAUUGAAAACCAUUUAUUUGAAAUACAUUAAAUUGUACACUCUUGUGGUUGAGUGUUAGAUUUCUAAUGCUCAACCAUUAAUUACUUUUCUGAUGUUUAAAAAAAAGAUGUGUCAUGCCAGUGAGCGGAAGUUGUUUCAAACAGAGCCAAUGAAAAUACGUCUGAAUUUUGUUUUUAAUCCUCAAUGACAUUUAAUGUGUGUAUUGUUGUAUUUGGCAACUCUAUGUAUUUUACAUUUGUCAAAUCAAUUCCGAUUCGGUUCUGGUUUUACAUUUUCAUCUACUGUACAGUACUAAUGGCAGUUCUACUUUUCACAAGCAGGUAGGUGUGUUACGCUGUACAAGUUCAUUCAUGACAGUUCAUUUCUGAGCCCCAAUGGCUGCGUAUAGACAGGUAGCCCAAUACUGAUCUUUUUUUCUCACAAAUUGGUCUUUUGAUCAGAUACUGUCAAAUCAAAUAUUUCUCAGAGCCGAUCAGUCAAAAGACCAAUUUA